UACGUAGGGGGCUAGCGUUGUCCGGAAUCAUUGGGCGUAAAGCGCGCGUAGGCGGCCAGAUAAGUCCGGUGUGAAAGUCAAAGGCUCAACCUUUGAAUGCCGCUGGAAACUGUCUGGCUUGAGUCCGGAAGGGGCGAGUGGAAUUCCUGGUGUAGCGGUGAAAUGCGCAGAUAUCAGGAGGAACGCCUGUGGCGAAAGCGGCUCACUGGACCACAACUGACGCUGAUGCACGAAAGCUAGGGGAGCAAACAGG
rnacentral:rRNA from 1 species